GGGGGGGGGGGGGGGGGGGGGGGGGGGGGGGGGGGGGGGCGGGCAGGGGGGGGGCUGGCUGCUGUGGCGGUGGCGGCGGACGGGGGAGUAACGCGGGGAUAACCUACCUAUAAGACGGGGAGAGCUGCGGGAAACCGGGGCUAGGACCGGAGAAUAUCUUGAACCUCAUAGUUCACUAGUGAAAGACGGUUUUCCUGCCCCUUAUAGCUGCCUCCACCCCUCAUUAUCUAGUUGGUCAGGUAACGGCUUACCAAGCCAACGAUGCGUAGCCGCCCUGAGAGAGUGAUCGGACACACUAGAACUGAGGCACGGUCCAGACUCCUACGGGAGGCAGCAGUAGGGACUCUUCCGAAAUGGGCGAAAGCCUGACGGAGUAACGCCGAGUGAGUGAUGAAGGUCUUCGGAUCGUAGAACGCUGUUAUUAGGGAAGAACAAAUGUGUAAGUAACUAUGCACGGCUUGACGGUACCUAAUCAGAGAGCCACGGCUAACUACGUG
rnacentral:rRNA from 1 species